rnacentral:miRNA from 1 species
GGGGGGUUUUUAAAGUUUUCCCUA